rnacentral:rRNA from 1 species
UACAGAGGGUGCGAGCGUUAAUCGGAAUUACUGGGCGUAAAGCGUGCGUAGACGGUUUCGUAAGUCGGGUGUGAAAGCCCCCGGGCUCAACCUGGGAAUUGCAUUCGAGACUGCGUAGCUAGGGUGCGGAAGAGGGAAGCGGAAUUUCCGGUGUAGCGGUGAAAUGCGUAGAUAUCGGAAGGAACAUCAGUGGCGAAAGCGGCUUCCUGGUCCAGCACCGACGUUCAGGCACGAAAGCGUGGGGAGCAAACAGG